rnacentral:rRNA from 1 species
UUGCACGCUGGCGGCCUGCCUUACCCAUGCCAGUCGCACGGCAGCACGGGUGCUUGCACCUGGUGGCGAGUGGCGAACGGGUGAGUAAUACAUCGGAACAUGUCCUGUAGUGGGGGAUAGCCCGGCGAAAGCCGGAUUAAUACCGCAUACGAUCUACGGAUGAAAGCGGGGGACCUUCGGGCCUCGCGCUAUAGGGUUGGCCGAUGGCUGAUUAGCUAGUUGGUGGGGUAAAGGCCUACCAAGGCGACGAUCAGUAGCUGGUCUGAGAGGACGACCAGCCACACUGGGACUGAGACACGGCCCAGACUCCUACGGGAGGCAGCAGUGGGGAAUUUUGGACAAUGGGCGAAAGCCUGAUCAAGCAAUGCCGCGUGUGUGAAGAAGGCCUUCGGGUUGUAAAGCACUUUUGUCCGGAAAGAAAUCCUUGGCCCUAAUACGGUCGGGGGAUGACGGUACCGGAAGAAUAAGCACCGGCUAACUACGUG